AAAAUAAUUUUAACUACAAAAAUAGUGAUAAAAAUGAGACUAGCUUCCAGUUAGUGCAAGUGUCGUUAGAACAACCUUGCAUUAGAAUAUCUCCGUACUUCUAUGCUUUAUUUCAUGGAGAGAGAUUUCCAAAGCAAAGUUAUUAAAGCUAUUCAAACGGGGUUUACACCAACUAAAUGAUAAAAACUUUGAUAUUUUUUAUCAUUUUAUUGAAAUUGUUAAAUUUUUCCCUCACCUUUUUCAAGCACAUAGUUUUUGUUUUAUCAUUUUAUUAAAUUAUUUCCACAAUUCCACUCCGCUAGUGAUAUUAUUAUUUUUGAGUAUUAUGAGAGAAAUUAUGUUCAUUGUCUUCUCUUUGCAUUUAAUAUUUUAUUUGCAUCCUUUAUAUGGCUUCUGUGAUUAGUUCCUCUAAUUGGCUAUGCUCAUUUAGAAGCGUUUGGUUACCCAUUUUAAACAUUUUCUGUUUUAAGGUGGACAUAUUACUGAACCCUUUUGAAUGAGGGUAGAAAACUAGUUCAAAUUGUAUUUUCAAAGUUUUUUUAGUUAAUAUACGUAGUUGGCUCUAGUGUGUUUUAGGUAUUAUACUAACAUAUCUUUUAUUUGUUUGUUAUUUGACAUGGUAGUGGCAAUUUUGACUACCGUUGAAAAGUCAAUUUUCCUGUAGUGUGUUUUAGGAUGACUUGGAAUUUGGGAAUUGGAACAUUCCAUCUUGUCGGUGAAUUCAAGAAUGAACAUGAAAUUAUAUGGAUUUAGUUUGUGUGAUAUGCUAUUUGUAAGAACAUGAAUUGAAGUUAUAUGAAUUUGUUGUUUGGAAAAAGUGCUAGAAACAAGGAGAUUUAAACUUUAAUUUUUAUUUGUUAAUAUGUUUGUUUAAUUUUUUUCUUUUCUUAUUCACAAAUCAGAAUAGAUAUCUUUAUUGGCUUUUGAAUAAACAGGAUUUUUUUUUUUUGUAUAGAAACAACGAAAUAACAGUUGUUGAAGAAACAUGAACAUUUGAAUUAAGAAGC